rnacentral:rRNA from 1 species
CAGUCGCCACGGGAACACGGAGGGGGCAAGUGUUAAUCGGAAUUACUGGGCGUAAAGCGCACGCAGGCGGUUUGUUAAGUCGGAUGUGAAAUCCCCGAGCUUAACUUAGGAAUUGCAUUCGAUACUGGGAAGCUAGAGUAUGGGAGAGGAUGGUAGAAUUCCAGGUGUAGCGGUGAAAUGCGUAGAGAUCUGGAGGAAUACCGAUGGCGAAGGCAGCCAUCUGGCCUAAUACUGACGCUGAGGUACGAAAGCAUGGGGAGCAAACAGGAUUAGAUACCCCCGUAGUCCCUGUCUCUUAUAC